rnacentral:rRNA from 1 species
UACGUAGGGGGCUAGCGUUGUCCGGAAUCAUUGGGCGUAAAGAGCGCGUAGGCGGCCAGAUAAGUCCGGUGUGAAAGUCACAGGCUCAACCUUUGAACGCCGAUGGAUACUGCCGGGCUAGAGUCCGGAAGAGGCGAGUGGAAUUCCUGGUGUAGCGGUGGAAUGCGCAGAUAUCAGGAGGAACACCAAGAGCGAAGGCAGCUCGCUGGGACGGUACUGACGCUGAGGCGCGAAAGCGUGGGGAGCGAACAGG